rnacentral:rRNA from 1 species
GUGAGGAAUAUUGGUCAAUGGGCGGGAGCCUGAACCAGCCAAGUCGCGUGAAGGAAGAAGGAUCUAUGGUUCGUAAACUUCUUUUGCAGGGGAAUAAAGUGCAGGACGUGUUCUGUUUUGUAUGUACCCUGAGAAUAAGGAUCGGCUAACUCCGUGCCAGCAGCCGCGGUAAUACGGAGGAUCCGAGCGUUAUCCGGAUUUAUUGGGUUUAAAGGGUGCGUAGGUGGUUUGAUAAGUCAGCGGUGAAAGUUUGCAGCUUAACUGUAAAAAUGCCGUUGAAACUGUCGGACUUGAGUGUAAAUGAGGUAGGCGGAAUGCGUGGUGUAGCGGUGAAAUGCAUAGAUAUCACGCAGAACUCCGAUUGCGAAGGCAGCUUACUAAGCUACAACUGACACUGAAGCACGAAAGCGUGGGGAUCAAACAGGAUUAGAUACCCGAGUAGUCC